UCAAAAAACUUACUACUAAUUAUCUGCAUCACUAUUAUGUGUCUGACUAGUUAAUUAAUUGCAUUAAUAGCUCGAUUUCAUAAUUGAUUUGGCGUGAAAAAUCCCUACUUAAAUAGAUUUAAUUAAUUACACGCAUAAUUAAUUGUCUACCAAUUAGUUGCAUUAAUGGCCCGAUUUCCAAAUUGAUUAUGUGCUCGGUUUUUUAUUUUCUUUGAACUAAUGAAUCAAUUUCAUAAUUGAUUUGGCGUGAAAAAUCCCUAAUUAAAUAGACUUAAUUAAUAGCACGCGUAGUUAAUUGUUUGCCUAUUCGUUGCAUUAAUGACUUGAUUUCCAAACUAACUUGAUGUGGGAUUUUUUACUUAAAUAUAUUUAAUUAAUUGCAUGUUAAUUAAUUGUCUCGCUAUUAAUUGCAUUAAUGAGUUGACUUUCAAAUUGAUUCGGUGCUUGGUUUCUUUAUUAUUUUUACAUUAAUACCUCGAUUUCAUAAUUGAUUCGGCGUGGAUAAAUCACAACUUAAGCAGACUUAAUUAAUUGCACACGUAGUUACUUGAUUUCUAAAUUUAUUCGGUGCUUGUUAUUAUUAUUAUUAUUAUUAUUAUUAUUAUUAUUAUUAUUAUUAUUAUUAUUAUUAUUAUUCUUGUUGUUGUUGUUGUUGUUGUUGUUGUUGUUGUUGUUGUUGCAUUAAAGGAUGGGUACCGACGACAUACAAACUCCCUUUUUAGGAGUAGAGAUUUUAGGAGUAGAGAAGAUUAAAAUCAUACCCUCUAUAUAAAACCUCGGCCAGAGGGGUCCAUGGCCAUUGCCUCUCAAUUCUCAUACUUCUUUUGAAUUCCAGAAGUUGAAGAUCAAACAUGAGAGGGAGAAGUCUGGUAUGCGUGGCUACUCUCUUGUUCGUCGGGUGCCUUGCUGUGGUGGGACAAUGUCGUCUUGAGGCUACAAGAAGCAACCAAGAACAUCCUCAUGCCAACAUAACGGCAAACGCUACCGCCGUGGAUUCAUCGCUGAAUGAAAGCAAAAUCACGUUGAAGUGGUGUGUGAGGAGGGACUGCGAUCGUCCAAAGGACCCGUUCGUCUGGAAAAACUGUUACUGCUGUGUCACGCAGCCGGGCAGUCCGUGUUGGCGUCAUGUGAAUGAAUGCCAAGCAAAUUGCCCAUCGUGUCAUCCUGAUUGCCUGUCUGCAUCAGCAAUCGAGCUACACGCAUAAAUGAAUGUAUGCGUACUUGCUUACAUAGAUAAAUGUGAUCGUUCGUUAGUAAUUUUACAAAGCUGGUCCGGGAAAGUCUUCCUCAAAUAAAGUACGUAGUGUGCUGCUCAUGACCUCAUUCAUGUACGCAAUAUAUAUUUCACUCUAGUCUAUCUAUCUGUAUA